CGUGUGGUUCUAUUUUGUUGGUUUCUAGGACCGCCGUAAUGAUUAAUAGGGACAGUCGGGGGCAUCAGUAUUCAAUUGUCAGAGGUGAAAUUCUUGGAUUUAUUGAAGACUAACUACUGCGAAGGCAUUUGCCAAGGAUGUUUUCAUUAAUCAGGAACGAAAGUUAGGGGAUCGAAGACGAUCAGAUACCGUCGUAGUCUUAACCAUAAACUAUGCCGACUAGGGAUCGGACGAUGUUAUCUUUUGACGCGUUCGGCACCUUACGAGAAAUCAAAGUGCUUGGGCUCCAGGGGGAGUAUGGUCGCAAGGCUGAAACUUAAAGAAAUUGACGGAAGGGCACCACCAGGGGUGGAGCCUGCGGCUUAAUUUGACUCAACACGGGGAAACUCACCAGGUCCAGACACAAUGAGGAUUGACAGAUUGAGAGCUCUUUCUUGAUUUUGUGGGUGGUGGUGCAUGGCCGUUCUUAGUUGGUGGAGUGAUUUGUCUGCUUAAUUGCGAUAACGAACGAGACCUUAACCUGCUAAAUAGACCGUAUUGCUUUGGCAGUACGCCGUCUUCUUAGAGGGACUAUCGGCUCAAGCCGAUGGAAGUUUGAGGCAAUAACAGGUCUGUGAUGCCCUUAGAUGUUCUGGGCCGC
rnacentral:rRNA from 1 species